AUAUUUCUCCGUACGGGAAGGAUGAGAAGCUUCGACUAAGGUUCGAUUCGAGCGCAGCGAGAAAGCGUUGCCGCAGGCAACGACCCGAAGGGUGAAGCGCGCAGCGCUGAGUAAUCCUUCCCCCACCACCA
rnacentral:sRNA from 2 species